UUAAAAAGCUCGUAGUUGAACCUUGGGCCUGGCUGACCUGUCCUCCUAAUCGAGCGCACGGGUUCGGUCGGGCCUUUCCUUCUGGGGAUCCCGAUGCCCUUCACUGGGCGUCGUGGGGAACCAGGACUUUUACCUUGAAAAAAUUAGAGUGUUCAAAGCAGGCCUUUGCUCGAAUACAUUAGCAUGGAAUAAUAGAACAGGACAGAGGUUCUAUUUUGUUGGUUUCUAGGACCGCUGUAAUGAUUAAUAGGGAUAGUCGGGGG
rnacentral:rRNA from 1 species